GUCAGCGGAAGUGGCGUCACUUCUCUGUCCUCCAAUUAAUAAUGUGUCCGGGAGGUGAGGCGGGGCGCUAGUUGCCAUGGUAUCGGACGCUUGACCCCUUUCUUGCGGCGCUCCCGGACCCUCUAGCGGAGACGCGGCCGGAGCCUCCGCGCCCAGCCAUGAGCAGCAUCUCGGUCGGGCGGAAGCUCAGCCUGUCUCCGCACAUCCUAGAGCUCCUGGCGCUGCCCUGUUGCCUGGAGGAGCUGGAGGCCGACUGCCGGCCUUCCAUUUCAGAUGACUUAAAAGUAGGCUAUUUUAUCACAGAUCAUGCCACUCAAACAGAUAUCAAAGAAAUAGUAGAACUAAAGGAGCUGACUACUACUACACAAGCCCUAGUACAGUUCACUGACUCCAUCCAGCAAGAUUUUAUGAUCUAUAAAAAUGUCCUUCAAGCACGGUAUGAGGAAAAAAUACAAGAGCAAGCUUCAAAUCUCUGUAGACAGAUAAAUGACAGACUGAGAGACAUUGAAGCUUUUCAUAAACAGAAAGAAGUCAAAAUUCGACAAAGCUACCAACAGCAGCUAUGUGAUGCACUUGCUGUUCUCAGAGUAGAUUAUGAGAAAAAUUAUUGCAUACAGGAAGACGCAGAUUCCUCAUUAGCAGUGAAUUGGCAGGUUUUGAUUAAGACGCUCCAGGAGAAAGAAUCUAAAAUUCAAAAAUUAGAAGCAGAAUUACAAGACUAUCCAGAACAUGAAGAUACACAAACGAUUAUUUUUGGCAGCGAUGAUGACAAUGAAAAAAAAAUACUCAAAAAAGAAAAUGAGGAUUUCAGAGGAGAGGUUUCUAAACUACUUGAUAGGAUUUCACAUCUUGAAGAAUCUCUGAAACGCAGUGAAAAAGAAAAUAAUAAAUUAGAUAAGGAGGUUCGAGGUAUGCAAUUAAAAAUGGAAAAAGAUGAGAAGACUGUUCAAAAGUUAAUCGAAGCUCAAGAAAAAAUAAAGAUGGAACUUGAAAAGGAGAGGUCAUUAAAUCAAAGUAUGCUCAAAGAACAAAAAGACACUGAGACAGAAGUGGAAAAGAAGUUAACUGAACCACAGAAAAAGAUUCCAUCAUUGCAAGAAAAAGAUACAAAAAAAAUGAAGGAGAAAGUGAAAAGUGGAAGUGAAAUUACAGUGCCUUAUGAGAGCAGAGAAUCACAAAAGGGAUAUCACAAGCAGCAACAGAAGAAGAGUCCUAGUUACAAGGAAGCAGAAAAAAGAGCAUUACUUGCUGAAAUUGAGAAGCUGAAGGUAUUGGAAGGUCAAGAGAAGCAACACAUACAAAGGUAUCGGCCAGAAUUUUUAAGACAUUCAUUUAACUCUAUAAAUAUUUUAACAUUUUGUGGGUUUUUUUAUUUCAGUCUUAAAAACGAAGUUGAACAAAUUAACCGAAGCUGGGCAAAGAAAUUCCAAAUUCUAAAGAAAAGCCUGCAUGCCAUUAAGGAUGAGAUGUUUCUUAGACAUGCUUUGUACCGUCAGGCAGCAUCAUUUAACCAGGCAUCCCUCAAUCAAACGCUUGCUGUUCCUCUCUAUAUUGAAACUGGUGCAAGCCAAAUAAAUGAACGAAGGGGUGCUUUAUAUUUACCUUUUUCACCAUUGCCCCAGAUACCUUCCCAGUCUACUGCAGAGAUGGAAGAAACAGAUCUUAAUAUUGUAAAAAUUCCAACCGGAACAGAAAUGUGCUCUUUGUAUGAAGAUGACAGGAACCAUGAGGAGCUACACCCUCAAUCAUCCAGGGAAUUGUAUAGUCUCCUAUAGACGUUUGGGCUAGUAGAUGUUUGGAAGUUCUCCAACCCACUGUUAGGCAGUACUUUUGGCUGAAAGCUACUCCCAGCCACAUCUCAGGGGCUAGAUUGGAUCGCGUUUAUACCAUGAAGGCCAGCGUGAAUACGUUUGUUCAGUCCUCCAUGUCUCCCACUCACUUGUCUGAUCAUCAUUAUGUCUGUCAGUGUGUGUCUCCUUCUUCCUGUCUGUUCUUCCCAUUGGCACUUUAAUACCAAAUUGUUACAGGACUUGAAUUUCACCCAGAUAUUCACUGUGCUUUGGGAGGGCUGGCGGCAGAAGAAGCCCCUUUAUGAGUCAUUGAGAGAGUGGUGAUGUGUCAUGAAAGUCUAGAUCAAACUGUUUUGCCAGUGGUAUACCCAGGCUACCACAUGGUCCUUGCAUCAGGCCAUGUAUGCCCUGGCAUGAGAUAUCUUGGACCUUCAUGUGGGGAACCCAGUGCAGACUCACCAAACUCAACUGAGAAGUACUGACUCCUGAGAUGCUUGCUGGAAGAGAAGGUGAAGGAUGCCCUGGUUCAGGCCCUUUGUAUCCAGCUGCAUGGCCUUGAUACUCCCACAAGGUUUUUUGUGGGGUUGGAGAAGAAGACUGCAGACUGUCAGCAGGUCUCUUGUCUCCAGCUGCCAAAUGGUUAUUUGAUGACUGAGCUAGCUGAGAUCUGGAAAGCAGCUCUUUCCUUUUGACAGUACUGUGUAUUUGUCUGAAUCCUGUGAUAUGCUGGCAAUGGCAGAGCUGCACUAGGGCUUACCCUGUCUAACUGGUGAUGUGCAGUGGUGCCUAGAUGCCAUGCUGUCAUUACAGGAGCUCUGUUGCAGUCCAGCAGCUCUCUACGGGCAAUGCCCCCUGUACUGAUGGGCUGCCAUCUGAAUUCUACAAACAUUCCAUAAACCUGGAUGCCCCAUCAUCUCAGGCAUCAGCACUCUUACAACAGGAUUAUCUGACUAUUUGGACUCUCCUCAGAUCCUAUGCUACCAGCACUCCCAGUGAUCUUCGAGACACCACCAAGUUCCUGAAAAAACUACAAUCCAUCGAUGAUCUUCCUGAAAACACCAUCCUGGCCACCAUGGAUGUAGAAGCUCUUUACACCAAUAUUCCACAUGAGGAUGGACUAUAAGAUGAGGCCACGGCACACCUGGUGGCUGAGCUUUGUGACUUUGUCCUCACCCACCCCCAUUUCAGAUUUGGGGACAACUUAUACCUUCAAGUCAGUGGCACUGCUAUGGGUACCCGCAUGGCCCCACAGUAUGCCAACAUUUUGAUGGCUGACUUAGAACAACACUUCCUCAGCUCUCAUUCCCUAGCCCCCCUCCUCUACUUGCACUACGUGGAUGACAUCAUCAUCAUAUGGACCCACAAGAAGGAGGCCCUUGAAGAAUUCCACCUGGAUUUCAAAAAUUUCCACCCCACCAUCAACCUCAGCCUGGACCAGUCCACACAAGAGAGACACUUUCUGGACACUACAAUGCAAAUAAGGGAUGGUCACAUAAACACCACCCUAUACCGGAACCCUAAUGACCGCUAUACUUACCUCCAUGCCUUCAGCUUCCAUCCAGGACACCUCACAUGAUCCAUUGUCUACUGCCAAGGCCUAAGAUACAACCAAAUUUGCUCCAAUCCCUCAGACUGAGACACACACCUACAAAAUCUUUAUCAAGCAUUUUUAAAACUACAAUACCCACCUGGGGAAGUGAGGAAACAGAUUGACAGAGUGAGAUGGGUACCCAGAAGUCACCUACUGUAGGACAGGCCCAACAAGGAAAAUAACAGAACAUCAGGGGCAAUCACAUACAGCCCCCAGCUAAAACCUCUCUAGCACAUUAUCAACUAUCUACAACCUAUCCUGGAAAAUGAUCCCUCACUCUCACAGACCUUGGGAGGCAGGCUAGUCCUCACUUACAGACAGCCCCACAACCUGAAACCAAUACUCACCCACAACUACACACCACACCACAGAAACACUAACUCAGGAACCAAUCCCUGUAGCAACCUCGUUGCCUACUCUGUCCCCAUAUCUACUCUAGUGACACCAUCAGAGGCCCCAACCACAUCAGCCACACCAUCAGAGGCUCAUUUACCUGCAUGUCUACUAAUGUUACGUGUGCCAUCAUGUGCCAGCAAUGCCCCUCUGCCAUGUACAUUGGCCAAACCAGACAGUCCCUACAUAAAAGAAUAAAUGGACACAAAUUGGACAUCAGGAACGGUAACAUACAAAAGCCAGUAGGAGAACACUUCAAUCUUCCUGGACAUUCUGUAACAGAUUUAAAAGUAGCUAUACUUGAACAAAAAAACUUCAGAAAUGGACUUCAAAGAGAAACAGCAGAACUAGUAAUUUCUGGGGAUGAAGAAUUUGUUGGGGGUCCUCCUUUUCCUUCACCUCCGUCCACGUUAACUUGACGGUAGGAGCAGUGCCUUC